rnacentral:tRNA from 1 species
GGGUAUAACUCAGUAGUAGAGUGCCUGCCUAGCAUGCAUGAGUUCCUAGGUUCGAUCCCCAGUACCGCCA